CAGGCCUCAGCAACUGCUGUGGUGUUGCUCAGCAUGCACACAGGUCUCUAUACCUUGACCAGGUCUCCACCAGGUACCUCACUGGGGGGCUGGUAAUUAAUACCAACCUUAAAGCCAAUGGGAUGCCAAUCCACAAACUGGAUGGUAGGCUUGAUCUUGAUGGUGGUGAUGGCAGCAUUGACAUCUUUGGGGACCAUGUCCCCAUGGUACAA
rnacentral:lncRNA from 1 species